UGCCUUUAUUUCAAAAUGAAUGUACAGUCUGUAAUCAAUUAGACUACAGACUGAGUUAAUGCUGUUUUAGGAUUGUACGAGUGCAAUAGCAUAUGUUUCACUCAAUGGAAACAAUGAGAUAUUGUAUAUUUAGAUUAGGAGAUCAACUGACAACAAUCUACAGUGACAAGCUCAGAAACAUAGGCAAAUCGUCAAAGAUAUCACACUAAUAAGCAUAAAAUGAUUGCAUAUCUGUUGAAUAAUAUAAUUGCCUUAUAUACUGUACAUAUUGUGUCAUGAAAAUAAGCUUAUGUUAUAGGUUUAUCAGCAUAGGAUAUUACUGUAAAGAAAAGCUAGAAAUACAUUUACUUCAGAUAAUAUAAAAUACACAAGAUUAAGAAACUAAAACAGGAGCACAGAUGAAUGAGCUAUUACAGAGGAUAUUACAGAAGCAUGUUUCUCAGCGCGCCUCAAUAAUAGCAAGUUUAACGAAGAUGUCAAUUGUAUGUUUGGGGUUGAUGGAAAGUAGAACACCACAAUUACAGAAAGCUCAGGGCAAGCUAUUAAAUAUCCCUUUUUUAUAUAUCCCUCUUCUUUCUCUUUCUGUGAUACUGUUAUAAUAUCUCUGGCUUAUGGUUGGAAUGUAAUAGCUAACUGUACAGUUGUCAGUUGUCAUGGCUAGUGUGGGUGUUGCACAAUGACAGGUCAUUCUGUGGCUGGGCCAUGGCUAGUGUGGGUGUUGCACAAUGGCAGGUCAUUCUGUGGCUGGGCCAUGGCUAGUGUGGGUGUUGCACAAUGACAGGUCAUUCUGUGGCUGGGCCAUGGCUAGUGUGGGUGUUGCACAAUGACAGAUCAUUCUGUGGCUGGGCCAUGGCUAGUGUGGGUGUUGCACAAUGACAGGUCAUUCUGUGGCUGGGCCAUGGCUAGUGUGGGUGUUGCACAAUGGCAGGUCAUUCUGUGGCUGGGCCAUGGCUAGUGUGGGUGUUGCACAAUGACAGGUCAUUCUGUGGCUGGGCCAUGGCUAGUGUGGGUGUUGCACAAUGGCAGGUCAUUCUGUGGCUGGGCCAUGGCUAGUGUGGGUGUUGCACAAUGGCAGGUCAUUCUGUGGCUGGGCCAUGGCUAGUGUGGGUGUUGCACAAUGGCAGGUCAUUCUGUGGCUGGGCCAUGGCUAGUGUGGGUGUUGCACAAUGGCAGGUCAUUCUGUGGCUGGGCCAUGGCUAGUGUGGGUGUUGCACAAUGACAGGUCAUUCUGUGGCUGGGCCAUGGCUAGUGUGGGUGUUACACAGUAAUAGGUAACAGUGUUGUUGGACGAUGGUUGCAGUACACUCUUUGAAAAAAUGGUGCUAAGUAGAACCAUGUAGGGUUCUUCAGUUUGUCCCCAUAAGGGAACUCUUUUUGGUGAGGGUUCUCCCUGUAUAGCCCUUUAUGUAGGGUUCUUCAUAGAUCCCCCUGUUUGGUUUUACCUUGAACCCUAUAUGAAAGGUUCUGCCUACAACCCUCUAUGAAUGGUUCUACCAAUAACCACUUUAUCAUCUAAAGGUUCUUCCUAGAACCCUCUUUGAAGAGUUCUACAGAGAAUCCUUUUAUCUUUGGAGGGUUCUUCCUAGAACCCUCUACAAAUGGUCCCACCAGCCUUAUUAGCCUUCAAAAUUGUAUUAUUUAUGACAAUAC